rnacentral:rRNA from 1 species
GUUAGGAAUAUUGGACAAUGGGCGCAAGCCUGAUCCAGCCAUGCCGCGUGAACGAUGAAGGCCUUCGGGUUGUAAAGUUCUUUAGCCGAUGAUUAUAAUGACUGUAGUCGGAAAAUAAGCCCCGGCUAACUUCGUGCCAGCAGCCGCGGUAAUACGAAGGGGGCGAGCGUUAUUCGGAAUCACUGGGCGUAAAGCGUGCGUAGGCGGUCUCGUAAGUUAGGAGUGAAAGCCCAGGGCUCAACCUUGGAAUUGCUCUUAAAACUGCAAGGCUAGAAUCUCGGAGAGGAUAGCGGAAUUUCCAGUGUAGCAGUGAAAUGCGUAGAUAUUGGAAGGAACACCAGUGGCGUAAGCGGCUAUCUGGACGAGUAUUGACGCUGAGGCACGAAAGCGUGGGGAUCAAACAGGAUUAGAUACCCGGGUAGUCC